rnacentral:rRNA from 1 species
GAGUUUGAUCAUGGCUCAGGACGAACGCUGGCGGCGUGCUUAACACAUGCAAGUCGAGCGGGGUUUAUCGGAUUAGCUUGCUAAACCGAUAAACCUAGCGGCGGACGGGUGAGUAACGCGUGAGCAAUCUGCCUCAUACAGGGGGAUAACAGGUGGAAACACCUGCUAAUACCGCAUAAGGCUCCACUACCGCAUGGUAGAGAAGUCAAAGGGAUUACCGGUAUGAGAUGAGCUCGCGUCCCAUUAGCUAGUUGGUAGGGUAAAGGCCUACCAAGGCGACGAUGGGUAGCCGACCUGAGAGGGUGAUCGGCCACACUGGGACUGAGACACGGCCCAGACUCCUACGGGAGGCAGCAGUGGGGAAUAUUGCACAAUGGAGGGAACUCUGAUGCAGCAACGCCGCGUGAGUGAAGAAGGUUUUCGGAUCGUAAAACUCUGUCAUUGGGGAAGAAUAAAUGACGGUACCCAAUGAGGAAGCCCCGGCUAACUACGUGCCAGCAGCCGCGGUA